rnacentral:lncRNA from 1 species
UGGAUUCAAGCGCGGCUUCGAUGUAGUCCUGCAGGUACUGCGACCUGAACUCGUCGUCGUAGGUGUUCCCGCCCGAGGGGUCAGGCAUGCUCGCAGCUCCUGAUACGAGCACCAGGAUCGAAUCAGAUGUCGUGUGGUGUAUUUAAUUUUUUGCAGUGAAAUGUUGCUGAUUUCUUGGGAUGAUGCAUGUUUCAGGUUAACUGUAGAGUUGGUGAGUUUACCGUUCUCGUGGAUCAUGACCACCGGGUUCUUGUAUUUCAACUGCAGAUGCCCCAGCAUUUUCUUCAGAGCCCAUGGCGUCGACGUCAUGAUGUCACUUUUCAACCCGAACAGGAACGGCUGUAUUUUAAUUUUGUCCGCAGAGGCAGAGAAAUGAUUUAGCUAUAUCAAUAAAGGAAGAUUUUAUAGUAACUUAUGGUCGCAUAAAAUUAAAUAUAUGGAGUGGAUUGUAUUGUAUUCGGCAG